CGCGGGGUGGAGCAGCCUGGUAGCUCCGUCCGGCUCAUAACCCGAAAGUCGUCCGUUCAAAUCCGGCCCCCGCAACCA
rnacentral:tRNA from 1 species